CAGCAGCCGCGGGAAUACGAAGGGGGCUAGCGUUGUUCGGAUUUACUGGGCGUAAAGGGCGCGUAGGCGGGCGAUUAAGUCAGAGGUGAAAUCCCAAGGCUCAACCUUGGAACUGCCUUUGAUACUGGUUGUCUUGAGUCCGGGAGAGGUGAGUGGAACUGCGAGUGUAGAGGUGAAAUUCGUAGAUAUUCGCAAGAACACCAGUGGCGAAGGCGGCCAUCUGGGACAACACUGACGCUGAGGCACGAAAGCGUGGGGAGCAAACAGGAUUAGAUACCCCUGUAGUCCCUGUCUCUUAUAC
rnacentral:rRNA from 1 species